rnacentral:misc_RNA from 1 species
GCUWACCUAUUUAGUAGUCUGCCAAGGCUCUUUGUCUUUGUGGGUUGUCGGUUUCUUGUGUUCCUUACCUAAUCAAAGGUAUUUUGCCGCUUUAUUGUAGUCCCUUUUUAUCUAGUGUCUAUCCUAUGACACUUGAUAAACCAUGAAGUGGUUUCUCUGAUCCUCAUUAUCAAUGAAAUAUUUGAUUUUGUGGCUCAUUGAGCAUCGCUUGGUCUCUUGGAUACAAAACAUGAUGUUAGCAUAUUGGUUUUCAUGGAUUUUGUGGCUCAUUGAGCGAUCUCAUGUUAUCCUUUUAUUGCUCUCAUUUAGUGUUCGCGCUUCUCUACAUGGUGUUAGCAUGUUGGUUUUCAAGGAUUUUGUGGCUCAUUGAGCGAUCUCAUGUUACCCAUUCAUUGCUCUCAUUUAGUGUUAGCGCUUCUCUUUAAAUGAUUGCUUCCCUUGCCUAGGCUCGUACCUGCAUGGGAGGCAUAUCAAAGAGGAAUGC